GGGCGUAUGGCGCAACUGGCAGACGCGCCUGACUUAGGAUCAGGUUUUUGUAGGUUCGAAUCCUACUACGCCCA
rnacentral:tRNA from 5 species